UACAGAGGGUGCGAGCGUUGUUCGGAAUUAUUGGGCGUAAAGGGCGCGCAGGCGGCACUACAAGUACGAUGUGAAAUCUCCCUGCUCAACGGGGAGGGUGCAUUGUAGACUGUAGAGCUAGAGAACGGUAGAGGGGGGUAGAAUUGCUGGUGUAGCGGUGAAAUGCGUAGAGAUCAGCAGGAAUACCCGUGGCGAAGGCGACUACCUGGCCUGUUCUUGACGCUGAGGCGCGAAAGCUGGGGGAGCAAACGGG
rnacentral:rRNA from 1 species